rnacentral:lncRNA from 1 species
CACGGGAUCACCUGAAUGUCACCAUGGCAGCACCAGGAUGUCACCAUGGCAGCACCUGAAUGUCACCAUGGGAUCACCUGAAUGUCCCCAUGGGAUCACCAUAACAUCACCAUGGGAUCACCAGGAGGUCAACAUGGGAUCAGCAGGAUGUCGCGAUGGGAUCACCAGGCUGUCACCAUGGCAGCACCAGGAUGUCACCAUGGGAUCACCUGAAUGUCCCCAUGGGAUCACCUGAAUGUCACCAUGGGAUCACCAGGAUGUUACCAUGGGAUCGCCUGAAUGUCACCACGGGAUCACCAGGAUCUCACUAUGGGAUCACCAGGAUUCCACCAUGGGAUCACCUGAACGUCCCCAUGGGAUCACCUGAAUGUCUCCAUGGGAUCACCAGGACCUCACUAUGGGAUCACCAGGAUGUCACCAUGGCAUCACCUGAAUGUCCCCAUGGGAUCACCAGGAGUCACCAUGGCAGCACCAGGAUGUCCCCAUGGGAUCACCAGGAGCUCAUUAUGGGAUCACCAGGAGGUCACCAUGGGAUCAGCAGGAUGUCACCACAGGAUCACAAGGAUGUCACCAUGGGAUCAGCAGGAUCUCACUAUGGGAUCAGUAGGCUGUCCGUAUGGGAUCAGAAGGCUGUCCGUGUGGGAUCAGUGGGCUGUCUGUAUGGGAUCAGCAGGCUGUUCCUAUGGGAUCAGUAGGAUCUCUCCAUGGGAUCAGCAGGCUGUCCGUGUGGGAUCAGCAGGAUCUCACUAUGGGACCACCAGGCUGUCCGUGUGGGAUCAGUGGGCUGUCUGUAUGGGAUCACCAGGAUCUCACUAUGGGAUCAGCGGGC